rnacentral:rRNA from 1 species
CCUUAUACGGUGGGCUACACACGUCAUACAAUGGAUGGUAACAAAGGGUCGCCAACCCGCGAGGGGGAGCCAAUCCCAUAAAGCCAUUCGUAGUCCGGAUCGCAGUCUGCAACCCGACUGCGUGAAGUCGGAAUCGCUAGUAAUCGUGGAUCAGAAUGUCACGGUGAAUACGUUCCCGGGUCUU